rnacentral:rRNA from 1 species
AGAGUUUGAUCCUGGCUCAGGACGAACGCUGGCGGCGCGCCUAACACAUGCAAGUCGAACGAGAGAGAGGGAGCUUGCUUCCUUGAUCGAGUGGCGAACGGGUGAGUAACGCGUGAGGAACCUGCCUCAAAGAGGGGGACAACAGUUGGAAACGACUGCUAAUACCGCAUAAGCCCACGGCUCGGCAUCGAGCAGAGGGAAAAGGAGCAAUCCGCUUUGAGAUGGCCUCGCGUCCGAUUAGCUAGUUGGUGAGGUAACGGCUCACCAAGUCGACGAUCAGUAGCCGGACUGAGAGGUUGAACGGCCACAUUGGGACUGAGAUACGGCCCAGACUCCUACGGGAGGCAGCA